rnacentral:rRNA from 1 species
AUUGAACGCUGGCGGCAGGCCUAACACAUGCAAGUCGAACGAGUGGCGGACGGGUGAGUAAUGUCUGGGAAACAGCCCGAUGGAGGGGGAUAACUACUGGAAACGGUAGCUAAUACCGCAUACCAUCGGAUGUGCCAAGAUGGGAUUGGCUAGUAGGUGGGGUAACGGCUCACCUAGGCGACGAUCCCUAGCGGGUAUGAGAGGAUGACCAGCCACACUGGAACUGAGACACGGUCCAGACUCCUACGGGAGGCAGCAGUGGGGAAUAUUGGACAAUGGGCGCAAGCCUGAUUCAGCCAUGCCGCGUGUAUGAAGAAGGCCUUCGGGUUGUAAAGUACUUUCAGCGAGGAGGCGUUACCCGCAGAAGAAGCACCGGCUAACUCCGUGCCAGCAGCCGCGGUAAUUC